CAAUAAGAUAAGAGAAGAGAAGAUCAGACUUUAUUCAUCCCACUGUGGAGCCAUUUAAUUGAAAUUAAAGAUCGUAGUAAAAUAUGAAUAUGAUAUGUAAAAAUGAAAAUAUACAGUGAAAACAAUUACAUGUGAAAAAAUCCUAUAAAACAGCCCAGAUUCAGAAAUACUUAAUGCAGUUGUUAGUAUUAUUAUUAUUAUUAUUUACUUAAUUCAAAUAUCUUGUAUUAAGUUAAAAUGCUAAUCCCCUUUAACUAGAAUGAAAUUCAAGCUGCUGGAAAAUUGAAAAAUAAUUUAAUAAGUGAAUUUACAAACAAUGAAACACAGCAGUUUCAGAUCGACUGAAUGUAGUUGAACUGAAAUCACUUCACUGUUAAAUAAAUGAAUGAAAACCAUCUUCUUCCUCUGAUGAAAUUUUGCAUAAAUUACAUCUUAAAUUGCUCAGUUUAUCUGUAAUUUCUCAUUAAGGUAAAGAUGAGUUUUCUGCAAAUGAGAUGAUGUUUCUACAGAAAAAUAUCCUUCACUUUAUGCAG